rnacentral:lncRNA from 1 species
GAGAGGCAUGAUGGACAGUGUGGCUACAACUUUGCAAAACACACACCCAGUCUCCACAUUGACACUCUGCCUCUGUAUGGCAGUUGUUCAGGAAGGUGAUGGAGUGUGCAGCCUCAGGUAUAUCUUGCAUUGCAUGAUUGUUCCUUGAGUGUUCCCCUCCUCUUGCUGUAGAAGUUGUAAUUUUUAUUUGAGUGUUAGGAGGAUCAUUGGAGUCAUCUUAAAGAGGACUGGAGCUGGGAAUGCCUGUGAGAAUACAGGACUGAGGGAAUGAGGAAGUGAUUUCUUGUUAGCUUCUGAAGUCCAGCUAAUUUUAACACCUGAAAUUUGUGUUGUUGAAGACUGUAAGACACGGAUAACUUCAGGGGCAAAGUGUGAGAGUCAGGAUGUUUAUGUGGAAGAGCUCUUGUUGAUGUCAGAUUGAUGAGUGAAGUACAUUGUGUAUUAUAAAGGGUUAAGGUGAAAUGGGAAAAGAGGAUAGAGAAAACAGGUAGGUAAAAGAAUUGGGUGAAAAUUAUUGGUUCUUUGUGCUCUUUGAGAAAAUUUUUUGUUUUCCUGUCAUGGUUUGUGUUGAGGUCACCUUACCAGCUGUAUCAAUUUUACAUUCUGGAGUUUUAUAAAUUGUCCUGUUCUAUCCCACUUGAGCCAUUUUCAAUGAUGUUUAGGCAAGAAGGGAAUAAUCUGCUUGGAUGCGUGAGUUGGUCUGAGCUGUGUUUAAGAAAGCACUUAAAAUACCUUUUAAAAUCUCCUUGUUUAUUCAUAGAAGCUAAGUGAGAUCAACUGAGUUUUGUUUUUAUUUGUUGGUGAGAGGAUUAAUUUGACAAAUGGUAUAUUAAACUGAAUUAAUUUGUGGCCCAGUUUUCAGUUUUUGAUGGAGGAUGAGUUUGAGAAUCAAGUGUGAAGAAGUCUUUUCAAUUCUAUAAAAUCGAUGAUAAAGGAAAAAAAGUGAAAGCUGACUUGGAACUAUUUAAUGAAUCUUGCCAUGCUACUAAAUUAUAUAAAUGUGGUCUAAAGGCAAUUUUUUUUUUUAAAAAAAGGCUAUUUGGGAAAAGAAUAUACUCAAGGGGAAGAGGUAAAAAGACUAACCAGUUAUAUUUCUUUGUUUCUGAGAAGUUUAAUUUUCCUUCAAACUUAAAAUUGGAAAUUAGUAAGUAAAUGCUUAUUUCAACAUUAUUUAUAUCUGCUCAUGUAUUGAGAACACAUCACUUUUAAGAUUCUACUUUUAUGAAGGCAGACUUUUUCAUCAAAAUGGACCAAUACAGAAAAUCAUCUGGAUGACUCCUUUAGACUGUGUGGACAUAAUUCAGAUAAUUGCCUCCUCAGCUUUCCCCAGGUAUUCUCUUUGUGUUGCCCUCUUCCAUCUUGUCAGUGCUUACAUUCCAGAAGAAGAUUACUUGAAUUUAAAAUGAAGGUCACACAAGCAAAGAAAAGCCCGUAACUAAAUAGACAGUUGGUUCCAACCUGACAGAGUGUUUUUGGUGCUAGAAGUACUUAAGCUAGACUAGGUGAGAAAUGUUGCAGACAUUGAACUGACAAGAGUUAUAGUAUUAGUCUCGGAUUCUUCAUGAAGAUUUAUGACCUUAUAUCUAUCUCUUCAACAUGGUGCUGGUUGUUAUCGAUGAAAGUUUUUAUUGCUAGACCUGAAAAAACAAAACUUUCAUAGGUCCUAGGCCUUGAAUUUAUUUACCUGGGUUUAGAAGUCUUAACUCAGUCAUCGUCCUUAUCUUAAUAUGACAGUUUCUCCUUUAGCAGUAUGUUCCAACAGUGUGAGGACCAGAAAGAAAGCUGCCUUUCUCUUUACUAUUGGAAUCUGUAUGCUGCUUAUGGACAGUUUAAGCUUCAUGAUAUUUUUAAUAAACCAUUAAAAUAGGACACCUUAAGCUGUUUGUGGUAGAGUUUACAAAGAGUUUUCUUUGCAACUGGGAGUCAGCCAUUGGGAGCUCCUAAAGCAAACUGUAUACUGGUCUUCUGUAUGAAGAAUGUCGUCUUUCCACGGGACUGGGGUUGUGGUUCAGUGGUAACGCGCUUGCCUAGCAUGUGUGAGGCACUGGGUUCAAUUCUCAGCACCACAUACAAAUAAAUAAAAUAAAGGUCCAUUAACAACUGAAAAAUAUUUAAAAAAAAAAAGAAUGUCUUCUUUCCAGGUUCCUUACUGCAUAAUUGAUUUGUGGUUUAGAGGUUUGCAGAAUGGCUGUGAACCAUAAAGUUUUUGGUGGCCAGAGGUACUUUUACUCACAUGCCUGCUGUGUCCCCUAAUUCUAUGCUACUUAGGUAUACUUGGCCUUUUCAUCAUAAGCUUUUCUGUCAGAUUAAAAUAUGAGUCCACCCUACUUAUACUUAUCUGUUUUAGGAACUCAAUUGGAACUCAUCUCAUAUCUUUCAAGGCAUAACUAUAGACAGAGAGACUCUCCCACCCAGAUUAUUUGAGCCUUCUCUUUGCACCAUAGGGUGAUAUCAAAUGAGUGAGCCCCAUAACUAUUGAAAAUCGAAAAGUAAGAGUCUAACUGGGCUUGGUGGUGCAUGCCUGUAAUCCCAAUGAUGUGGAAGGCUGAGGAAGGAGGAUCACAAAUUUGAAGCCAGUCUGAGCAACUUAGCAAGGCCCUAAGCAAUUUAGUGAAACCCUUUCUCAAAAUUUAAAACAUUAAAAAAAAUAAGGCUGGGGAUGUGGUUUAGUGGUUAAGCACUCCUGGGUUCCUCUGGUACAAAAAAUAAAAAGAAUCAAGGUCUAUAGAAGAAAAGCCCAAGUGGCUCUAUUUUUUGUUUGUUUUGUUUUACUUUGUUACAGGCAGAAAUUCUAAGCAGUUACAUUUGAACAUUUUGGGCUUCAUCUUUCACGUGAUCAAUGGUAAGUAAUACAAAAACCUGGAUUCAUCAUCUAACAUUUUUUAAAAAAGCAUUCUAUUUAUCUGUUAGGAGAAGAUUUCUCAGCCUGAAAGUCAGAUUCCAUUGUAGUAAUUAAUGCUGCCACCAGAAAAUAUGGUCUGACAAGAGAUUAACAAUCUUAGCCAAUGGUUUACCUGCUACAGCAAGAUUUAAUACAUUAACUAGAUUCCACAGCAGCAAAGGGAUAAGACAGAUUCUUACAGUUCUCUGUAAUAGGUUUAACCUUUCCUGGAAUUGGACAUAAAGAAUGACUAUGAUGAGAAGAAUUAAAUGAAAUCUCACUGGCUUUUCCCAGUGUAUAAAGGUUCAUAAGACAGAGAAUUAACACAUCGUCAUUCAACUGAUUUUUAGCUGUAUCAUUUUACGGUCCACAUAAUAUUCUAUAAUGUUCUCUUCUAACGCAUGAAAAUGAACAUAUAUCUUGGGAAGUCAUUUGUCUGACUAUGGCAUCGACACAGUAAAAAGAUGUUAUUUGAAACAUGUAAAACUGAUUUUAAAAAAAUCUGUGGCUUACAUGUAAGAGUAUACUUGUGGUUUAUGUUUGCUAGUGUGCAAGUUUGUGUGCACAUGUCUAUGUAUGUAGGAUAUAUUUUAUAGUCAUGGAACUUUAAUAUCCCAAAGCAAUUGUUAGAGUAAUUUUCUUAUAGGAAUUGGAUAUGCCUUAAUGUUAACUAUAAGAACAAAAGUCCUGGGCUGGGGAUGUGGCUCAAGCGGUAAUGCGCUCGCCUGGCAUGCGUGUGGCCCGGUAUCUAUCCUCAGCACCACAUACAAACAAAGAUGUUGUGUCCGCCGAACACUAAAAAAUAAAUAUUAAAAAAUUCUUUCUCUCUCUCUCUCUUUAAAAAAAAAAAAGAACAAGAGUCCUUUCACAGGUCAUGAAUGAAGAAUUUGGAAUCAACCUCAGAAUGAGAUGUCAUAAUUAUAUAAAUCUAUUUUGGUUGUACAGCAUCCCAGAAAUGUUUACUGAGGUUUUGGGUUUUUUUUUUUUUUAAUUUCAAAGUCAUGUAACUGUGGCAUAUUCAAAUGUAUUUUAACAUGAAUUAUGAUUUUAUUAUAGGGAAAUAUGGGCAGCAUAUUCCCUUGCUCCAAGUUUUACUAACUCUUCUGUUUCAGGAACAGCCAGCCUUGUUUCCCCACUGCCAUCUUUAUGGUUUCUACCCAGGCUUCAAACAAAUGUCAUGUAAGAAAGCAAAGAUGGGUAAUUCCUUUAGAUUGUAUUUAGAGUUCUUACUCUGUGGUUCUUGUUGUGUUUUUAAUUUUCCUUUUCUUGCGAAACAAAAAUAAUUUGGUGUUGCUUGUUUGCUUUUUGAUAUUAUAAGCAGCGAUUAUCAAGGUUUUAAGCUUUUUCUUAUGGCAUCUGAUGCUUUAUAUAUUAAUAGCAAGUGCAUCAUGUCAUUUUAAAAUAAAAC